rnacentral:rRNA from 1 species
GAUACCCUAUUAUUUUGAAUGUAACGGUUUGUCUUUAAUUAUUAAUAGUUAGGUUCUUUAAAGUUAAAAGAUUUGGCGGUAUUUUAGUCUGUUCAGAGGAAUCUGCUUUUUAAUCGAUAUUCCACGAUUAACUCUACUUUGAUUAAAAAUUUAUAUAUCGUUGUUUACAAAAAUUUCAGGAGAAUUAUAAUUUUUAGUAUUUUUGAUUAUAUUUCAUUUCAGAUCAAGGUGUAGUCUAUAUCAAAGUUAAAGUGGAUUACAGUACAAUUACGUGUGGGUUUUAUGUUUACAACUUAAAAUAAACUGGAUUUGAGAGUAAAACUUAAAUAUUUACAUUUUGAUUUAGCUCUAAAAUAUGUACACAUCGCC